UUUUUCCAUAUCAGUUACUUUAUUCUUCGUGAAUGAUAUGGACAAAACUUUUGUGUUUGGUUUGUCCUGACUUCAAAUUCUAGAAUGAUCCGUGAACACCCUUGUUCCUAAAGGAGCAAUUUUUGAGAUCUCUCUAAAACCCACUUUAAAAAAUCAAAUUACAGAAACAACAGAAUAUAUUCAUGAAAUUUUGCCAUCUGGAAUGUGCAAUUGUUUAUAGUUUGAUGAAGCAAUAGUUUGAAAAGGAAUGAGAGUGGAGUUAGUGGUGGCAUAAUGCAGUGGAAUUUGAUUGGAUGACAGAGGCAGAGGCAGGGGGAGGAACGUUGGCGUCGGUUAUAGUGUUUGGUUGUCUGUUGUUUGCAGUGAGAAUGUUGGAUGGUGAGCCAAUGAAGAAGACGAAGAUGAUCCAGCAACCACAACAGCAGUUUUGAUAUAAUAUGGACAAUUUAUUUUUAUAUAUUAAAAAAAAAGAGUAUCGGUGUCCAUUGUGAAUUAAAUGGGAAGGGAGAUGGAGAUUCUGUUUGCUUGGUGAGCAAUUACGACGGAAAAUGACAGGUGGAAGACGUUAAAAGCUACCCUCGCCUUCCGGUUAAAUCCUCUCUGGAUAGGUAUUUACAAAAGUUGUGGCUUUGGUCUGAUUCAAAUUUUCAAGGGGAAGGGAGCCCUCAACAGCCACACACAUCUUAUAUAAUCUCUCACUCCCUAAACGACUUGUAUUUUUAUGUAUUCCACUUUUUCCAAAAUUCAUUUCAAGAGAAAAAUAAAUAAAUUCUCUCUUUCUUUCUCGUGCUUUAGCACUCUACAGCAUUCCCAUCGCUGUCAGAACCAUUUUAUUGGAAUUUAUCAUCAUAUUACUUCAUCAUAACGACUCAAAAGUAGUAAUGUAUUAGGUUUUUUAAGUAUAAUUAAAUGAAGAGAGUUUUCAGUCA